UACAUAGGUCUCAAGCGUUGUUCGGAUUCAUUGGGCGUAAAGGGUGCGUAGGCGGCGCGGUAAGUCGGGUGUGAAAGCUCGGAGCUUAACUCCGAAACUGCAUUCGAUACUGCCGUGCUUGAGGACUGGAGAGGAGACUGGAAUUUACGGUGUAGCGGUGAAAUGCGUAGAUAUCGUAAGGAGGACCAGUGGCGAAGGCGGGUCUCUGGACAGUUACUGACGCUGAGGCACGAAGGUCAGGGGAGCAAACGGG
rnacentral:rRNA from 1 species